GAGCGGUAGAGAGAAGCUUGCUUCUCUUGAGAGCGGCGGACGGGUGAGUAAUGCCUAGGAAUCUGCCUGGUAGUGGGGGAUAACGUUCGGAAACGAACGCUAAUACCGCAUACGUCCUACGGGAGAAAGCAGGGGACCUUCGGGCCUUGCGCUAUCAGAUGAGCCUAGGUCGGAUUAGCUAGUUGGUGAGGUAAUGGCUCACCAAGGCGACGAUCCGUAACUGGUCUGAGAGGAUGAUCAGUCACACUGGAACUGAGACACGGUCCAGACUCCUACGGGAGGCAGCAGUGGGGAAUAUUGGACAAUGGGCGAAAGCCUGAUCCAGCCAUGCCGCGUGUGUGAAGAAGGUCUUCGGAUUGUAAAGCACUUUAAGUUGGGAGGAAGGGCAAUUACCUGAUACGUGAUUGUUUUGACGUUACCGACAGAAUAAGCACCGGCUAACUCUGUG
rnacentral:rRNA from 1 species